GCGGGAAUGCGAGUAAGUCGAGAAGAUGGACUACCCAGGUUUCACAAGUUCACCUGUGUCCUCAGUCCCUGACACCUCUGUCACCAACACCUGGCUACCGGGAGACCUAGUCACGGCCACGCACACACACACACACACACACACACACACACUCAAACGACAUUAGUUGACCACUCCCAUUCUUUAAAGCAAAAACCCUACAAAGAAACGGAAGCCACUUUCCAAGGGACUCCCGUCUCGCUCUCUUGGCACCUUGGGUACGAAUCUCCAUGCAGAACGGUGGCUUCCGUCUUUUUCAGAUGGGGGUCUGCUUUCUGCAAGAGACUGCCGGUUGCAAAAACUACCAUCCUGUGGUGUGCCCCCAAACAUCUUAUUUGUCUUGAUAUUUCUUUCACAGAAAUACAUUUGACAGAUAAGGAGUCACUGGAGGGUGCGUUUGCUUUGUGUCAGACAGAUAUUAAAACAAUAAACCACGUUGCCCUGGGAUUCCGGCGCACGCACAGCCAGAGAACAAGGCCGAGAUGAGAUGUUUCUGGAAAGCAGCGAGGCACUUGUUCUGGGGGAAUUCCCUGGGAACGCCAGGCCCUGUGAUAGCAUUGACAGAGACUAUUUCUAAGGCUCACGUUUUCUUAAGAGGAUCAACCGGCUGGUGCGGCUCCCAGGUCUAACUCCUGACAAUGCCCACCCUCCUCCGGCCCCUGCGGUGGCUCCAGAGCAAUCCUUCCGUAGUCUGAGAAGCUUAUUUUGAGAGCCUGUUUUUUUAAGCACUCAUCUGCACUUCAUUUGCUUCCCCACACGACUGUGGGAUUAAAAUGGGGGAAAAAGUAGAAUAAAAUCAGAACCGUUCUACCUUCAGAGCUCUGAACUUGGAAACCCCAGGGACUGAAGAUGAGACCCCAGAGGCAGCUGGGUGUGGAAGAGCAGGCGCACCUUCCUGGGGGACUCGGCUUUGGGAACUGAGCUGAGCCUCUGGUCUGCCGAGGAACGUGCAGCGGCCUUCAGAUAAUUCAACUGCAGGGGUGAGAGCCCUGGAGGCUGCAAGGAAGUGCGUCCUGCUAGAAUGCUCCCCUCCCACUCUGGCCUUAUUUUCCUUCCAAAACAAGUCACCCCAUUGGAGUCGAAGAUGCUCAAAAAGAAACUGAGCUUGCCUCCCACAGAAUUUUUGGAAAAAGAACUUGGCAUAGUUCAUUUAAAUCCGGCAAUUUAAACACUUGCCCCCCAUAGGAACGACCACAGCACCAUCUUCUUAAAUUAUCUUUUCAUUUUACAAAAAGGACCCACCAGGUCCUAAACUAUGUAUUGCUACUGAAGAACAUGGGAGCCAUGUAAAGAAAAUGUGGUUUCAGAACCAAAUAAUAUGCUGCAUAUUUUACAUCUGUCUCCUUGAUUUUUUUUAAAUUGUUUGUUUGUU
rnacentral:lncRNA from 1 species